rnacentral:lncRNA from 10 species
GCGGGGGGGGGGUUGUUCUUUUGCUCCUUGGGUCCACACUGCGUUUAUGAGCUGUAAUAUUCACCGCAAAGGUCUGCAGCUUCACUACUAAGCCAACGAGACCACAAACCCACCAGGAGGAACGACAAUUCCAGACGCGUGGCUUUAACAGCUGUUAACACUCACCGCGAAGGUCUGUAGCUUCAUUUCUGAGUCAGCGAGACCACGAACCCACCAGAAAGAAGAAACUCCGAACACACCCGAACCUCAGAAGGAACAAAUUCCGGACACGCCGCCUUUAAGAACUGUAACACUCACCACAAGGGUCCGCGGCUUCAUUCUUGAAGUCAGUGAGACCAAGAACCCACUAAUUCCGGACACACUUUGACCAGCAGAGCAGGCAGAAGUAAAGCCACGGUUCACAGAAGUGGCUGCCCCGGCUGGACACAGGCUCAAUCUUGCUGGAAUCUGUCCUCUUACUCCCCUACCCCAGCCCAGUGCCCCACCAGCGUGCUCCACUCAGCAUCCUGAUUUUCCCUGGAAUGUGCCACUUUGCCACCAUUUCCCUUUCAACAGAUGGAAUAUAGCAAGUUCGCUUUCUGUAUCAAUCAUGUCACAAAUCAUUAAGCAUAUCGACAUCAAGCAGAGCCAGCCUGUGUAGUCGCAAAGGGGUCGGGUGUUCUUCCACUGCCGAGCAGGCAGGUGCCACUACCUCGUCCUCAACUGUCAGGAGUCCCACCCACUUGGGGGCCCCAAGCCAGCGGCCCCAACCUGCUCUUAGCUCCACAGGGUAGCACGGAGGUCAUGUGAUUUAUCUGGAUCCUCUGCAGGAACCCUUCCCCAGACCACAGCUUUAACAGCCGAUCUUCAGA